rnacentral:tRNA from 2 species
GCGGAUAUGGCGGAAUUGGCAGACGCGCCAGAUUUAGGUUCUGGUGGGAGACCGUGCAGGUUCAAGUCCUGUUAUCCGCACCA